rnacentral:rRNA from 1 species
UACGUAGGGUGCAAGCGUUAAUCGGAAUUACUGGGCGUAAAGCGUGCGCAGGCGGCUAUAUAAGACAGAUGUGAAAUCCCCGGGCUCAACCUGGGAAUUGCAUUUGUGACUGUAUGGCUAGAGUGUGUCAGAGGGAGGUGGAAUUCCACGUGUAGCAGUGAAAUGCGUAGAUAUGUGGAGGAACACCAAUGGCGAAGGCAGCCUCCUGGGAUAACACUGACGCUCAUGCACGAAAGCGUGGGGAGCAAACAGG